AUUGAACGCUGGCGGCAGGCCUAACACAUGCAAGUCGAGCGAGCGGCGGACGGGUGCGUAAUGUCUGGGAAACUGCCUGAUGGAGGGGGAUAACUACUGGAAACGGUAGCUAAUACCGCAUACCAUCAGAUGUGCCCAGAUGGGAUUAGCUAGUAGGUGGGGUAACGACUCACCUAGGCGACGAUCCCUAGCUGGUCUGAUAGGAUGACCAGCCACACGGGAACUGAGAAACGGUCCAGAGUCCGACGGGAGGCAGCAGUGGGGAAUAUUGCACAAUGGGCGCAAGCCUGAUGCAGCCAUGCCGCGUGUGUGAAGAAGGCCUUCGGGUUGUAAAGCACUUUCAGCGGGGAAGCGUUACCCGCAGAAGAAGCACCGGCUAACUCCGUGCCAGCCGCCGCGGUAAUUC
rnacentral:rRNA from 1 species